rnacentral:lncRNA from 1 species
UACACUGUGGUAUUGUUGUACUACGUACAUAAUGCAGUGAAGUGGCUCAUUAAUAUUCGCAUGAAUAAUUGGGAAAACACAUUAUAUAAAAAAGCUGAUGUUAACGUCUGAAUCAGAAACAUUCAAUAAGUGUUUUAAACAGAAAAUAGCUUGAGAAAGGAAAUUUAAUGUAGAAAAUGAUUCGACAUUCACAGAGAACGACAACGAAAAGGCCGACUACAUUUUCAAUAAAAGAAAAUGACGAUCCGCCGGAAAAGAUUCCUCGUUAUCAAUGUCUGGAUGUUCGAGGUCAUACCAAUAUUAAUGCUCAAUCAAGUCACACUGACCCGG